rnacentral:lncRNA from 1 species
CAGUACUGAAUUUAAUAAUCAAUGAAUAUGUUUUCUUUUCUUCCCAAGUUUUUCCAAUAUCCUACCUUUAAACCAUUACUAUACCUUUUCUUUUCUUUUCUUUUCUUUUCUUUUCUUUUCUUUUCUUUUCUUUUCUUUUCUUUUCUUUUCUUUUGAGAGAGGGUCUCUGUAUAUUCCUGGCUGUCCUGGAACUGUAGGUAUACCAGGCUGGCCUUGAGCGUACAGAGACCCACCUGGCACUGACUCUGGAUUGCUGAGGUUAAAGGCAGUGCACUACAGAGCCCAGCUAAGUGACACCUUUAAACAUCUUUCCAGAGAGAUUCCUUUGGAUGACCUUGAUGGUGGCCUUUGCCCACAUCUUGUCAGUCUCACUUGUACCAUGCUAUGGCAUGACUGAAGCAUUUAAGCUAUGCUGAGUCUGUGAAGAUCAAACCAGAGAAUCAGGCUUCCCUUUGCACUAAUACAUUUCUUCUUUAUCACCUCAGCUAUCUGUAACAGGAAGGGCCAUAAAACCCUGCUCAGCCACUAUUAACAAUGAAGACUGUAAGAUGUAAUCAUACUUUGGAGGCGGGGGAGGGGCUUGCUAGCAAAAUAGUUUCCUUUUCAUUUCCAACCCUGAAAAUUCUCCAAGAGGUAAACUCUAACGUCUCUUUCAUCUCUAGAGUAGAUUCAGAACAUCCACUGGAGGGUAAACAUCUUCUCUAGUUUCCUGUCACCAGAUACUUAGGUGGCACAAAUGUCUGCAAGGCCAUUUUGUGU